rnacentral:rRNA from 1 species
AUACGGAGGAUGCAAGCGUUAUCCGGAUUUAUUGGGUUUAAAGGGUGCGCAGGCGGGAGAUUAAGUCGGCGGUGAAAUUUUGCAGCUCAACUGUAAAAGGGCCUUCGAAACUGGGUUCCUUGAGUGUAGAUGAAGUAAGCGGAAUUUGUGUGGUAGCGGGGAAAUGCAUAGAUAUCACGAGGAAAUCCGAUUGGGCAGGCAGCUUACUAAACUACUACUGACGCUCAGGCACGAAGGCGUGGGGAUCAAACAGGAUUAGAUACCCUGGUAGUCCACGCGGUAAACGAUGAUCACUAGGUGUCCGUGGGUAUGACCCAUGGGCGCCGCAGCCAACGCAAUAAGUGAUCCACCUGGGGAGUACGUUCGCAAGAAUAAAACUUAAAGGAAUUGACGGGG